CCACGACCACCCCGGGCUGCCUGGUCCAGUGCUCUGCCUCCCUCAAUGUAAAGAAGCUCUUCCUCGUGUUGAUGUGAAACGUUUUGUGAUUUAGUUUAUGGCCAUUGCUCCUCACUCUGCGGUGGG